rnacentral:miRNA from 1 species
CAGUGUUUCUCUCCACGUGCUGG